rnacentral:rRNA from 1 species
CCCUUAGAUGUUCUGGGCCGCACGCGCGCUACACUGAUGCAUUCAACGAGUUACCUUGACCGUGAGGUCCGGGAAAUCUUUGAAACUGCAUCGUGAUGGGGAUAGAUUAUUGCAAUUCUUAAUCUUCAACGAGGAAUGCCUAGUAAGCGCAAGUCAUCAGCUUGCGUUGAUUACGUCCCUGCCCUUUGUACACACCGCCCGUCGCUCCUACCGAUUGGGUGUGCUGGUGAAGCGUUCGGACCGUGGCCUUUGGACGGUUCGCCGUCUGUUGGCUGCGGGAAGUUCGUUAAACCUUAUCAUUUAGAGGAAGGAGAAGUCGUAACA